UUUUAUAGCGGGGAGGUGUUCCCUGCACAAGAUCUCUUUCUUUGCUUGCUGCCAUCCACGUAAGAUGACUUGCUCCUCCUUGCCUUCCGCAAUGAUUGUGAGGCCUCUCCAGCCAUGUGGAACUUACCUGUAGUACUUGAAUACGAUCAGCAUCCAGCUUUGUCAACAACUUAGAAGCAGAAUCCAGCAACAUCGGUGGAUCUGGAGGCCAUUAUCCUAAGUGAAACACCGCGGAAGCAGAGUCAAAUACCGAUCGUCCUCAUUUAUAAGUGGGAGCUAAACAGCCUUUAUUAUCUGAAGACUGAAAGACUGAAUGAGAAAUGCAUCUGAUCUAAUGCUGAGACAGUCGAAUUUGGGAAUUUGAAAUGCGAUUUACCAGAGAGCAACUUGGGCUUAGCACAUGUUCAUUAAGGAGCACGCAGUCACAGCUAGCUUCCUGUUUGAAGAAAAAGAAAACAGUCCCUUGUUCAAAUAUCAUAAUUCACCAAAAUCUCACCAUGUUUUUCAUUUUUUUCUAUUAUAAAUUUACGUUAAUUGCAUGCUGCUUAAAUGUGGUUUUACAUAUUUACUCUCAGCAGCUCACUUUUAGAGCUACAUAUAUUUUCC
rnacentral:lncRNA from 10 species